rnacentral:lncRNA from 1 species
AAAGGAGAAGCUAGCACAGGCCCUCUCCAGGGGAAUUAGAGACUAAGGACUAUCAAACUACCACUUUCCUCAAGAGGAAUCUACAAACAGUCAAACAAAGACAAAGUCAUUGCUAGGAAUUUUUUGGUUGUGGCUUAGUAUAGAUCUGCCUUUGAUGAGACUUUAACUUGAAAUUUCUGCAUAUCCCCUAGUUAAAUGCACCCUGCUGCUUCUAUGGUGAACAUUCAAGGGAAUCAGAACUCCCACUCCUUCUAAAAAGCUGUAGCUCCCCAAGAGUUAAGUUUCAAAGACCGUAUGUAAACCACAAUACUAGUUUCAGAUUCAGCUGUACAAAUAAAGUACAAUAUUGAAACACAAUGAAGAUGAAUGUUGAGAUUUUUAAGAAAUUUAUCUGCCCAUUGUAACUAUGUGGAUUAAUCUCCUGCUUAGAAAGAUCUUAAUUAUAAACAAUAAAUAAAAUCAAUUUUUUCCUUCUUUCUCUAUGCUAAUUUAUCAUCUAUGAGAAAUAUUCCAGAAACGAUUUUUAUACUUAAUGGAUAUUGGUGGAAGAUAAAUUAUUUAUAAGUUGAAUUUUUAAAAGGAGCUUUUAAAAUAUUACUGUACUUACACGCCCUCAUAAAGAAAAUAUCUUCAGCUUUCAGUCUCUGAAGGAACAAAAUCAAAACCGCUUGAACAAGUAUCCCGGCUGGAGGAAAAACUGGAGCUGUGAACCACAAGGAAGCCCGUGAGGAACCAUAUGAAAAAAUGCUACUUGCAAAAGACCAGUGCAUCGAGAAAUUGCAAGCUGAAGUAAAAGCUUCCCAGGAGCAACUUAUAGCCCAUGUAAGUAUUUCCCUCCUUUUUCCAUUCCUUUAUUUAUAUCAUCGUUAACUUGGAAAUGAAUAGAACUUGGAAAAAAGUUAUAAAUGAGUUUUGUCUGCUGCAAACCAAAUCACAAAGCUAAAAAUUAGUAUUUUUACUGCCUCUGCACAGUUUCUUGAUUUUUGUAGGUGAUAAAACUUCCAAACUGAGCUCUUAUGUGUAAUCAGAUGGUCUAGUCAGGGGCUAUCAGAGGAAGAGAACCGGAAACUCAGGGCAGAAAGAUGAAGAAGCCAGCCCAUUUUGGGGAUUAGGUUGAAGUGGAGAGAUGUGUCAAUUGUUGACCCAUCAGAUAAAGGUCUAGAGCAGUGCUUCUUAAACUUUACUGUAUGUAAGAACAACCCGAAAGCCUCUUAAAACAAAUUGCUCAGAGAUUCUGUUUCCUCCAUGCAUAGGGUGGGCCUGGAAAUUUGCACUUUUGGGUAAUUAUAGAUUCAGGCAAUGCUGACACUGCCAGUCUUUCAGGACACAUUUAAGUAACAUUGUUUUUUAU